UUGUCAGUUCACUGUGAUGCCAGAAAUGAUUCAGCUCAAUGUAAUGGGACUUUGGGAGAAACUGUGUUUCUACGGCUGACUGACAACGCUUCAGGAAUUAGAAUUGAGUUGAGAAAGGAAAAUGUAAUAUUACUACAAUGGAGGAUAAAUAGAACAGUUGCAAAUAAAAUAAAAGACAGAUCCGAUUUUAUACCCAAUAAUGGAACAUUCAGGAUAAACGACCUGAAACACAGCGACAGUGGUGAAUAUAACUUUACAGUCUUUGAUUCAGUUGGGAGGUUUACAGAAAAUCGGAUUCUUCAUUUGGUAAUUGAGGAGCCUGUUCAAGUCUCAACAGAUACUUCUCUGCUCACAUGUGGUUUGAUGUUUGCUGCAGCCGUUCUUAUAUGUGGUGGGAUUGGCCUCUAUUUCAAAUGGAAGGAGACAAAAUAUAAGAAAAUGUUCAUCACACCACAAAGAAACGAGAAUGCAGAGGAMUUUCAAGUUAUUGAACAAAGAAAUKUKCCCGAUAUUUAACUGCUACCCUUUGUAGGUGUCUUCUGUAAUGUGUGAAGAUUUCAGAAGCUCAGUGUARAUGUCAGAGAAAAGGUAUGGAUAAAAAUAACUGCUCUAUUUUAACAUCUUUAAUGUAUUUGCCCUGACAUUUAAUAUAAAAUUGUCCUGUUGACUUAAAUGUAAAUUUUUCAUGUUUGUUCACAUUUUGAGUUUGCUAAGCUAAGCUGUAAUAAUGUACAAUUUAUUGAAAGAUGUUUACCUGAUAAAAAUAAAUUGAUAGUUCAAAUGUAUUUGAUAGUUUACAAAUA